UAUCAGAAAUAGAUAUGCAGGUCACUAAUACUAGUGGCACCUUAGUUCUUCACUGGGGUGGGAUACAAAUUGGAAAAGAGUAAGUACACUUGUAAAUAUAAUGAUUUGCUUUGAUUCAAGUUUUGAGCUAUAGCAUUAAAAUGUUUUAUGUUACUUUUGUCAUUUUUUCACGCAGUUAGAAUUAUGUAUUUUUCAAAUUGCAAAACUGCUGGAAUGGGAAAAGCUAACAAAGAUAAAGCAUCAUCUGAAUCUUACAGAUUUUGGGGUGUUCUGGCUUGUCACUAGUCUGUCCAAUAAUGCAUCUAAAAAUCCUUAUUUUUGUCUAUUCAUAUUUGACCACAAAAAGCAUGAUCACUGACUUAUUGAUCUUGCAGUCUGUGGAUUAUGAGCCUCCAUUCUUCAGAAACUGCACAGAACAAGAAGCUCAUAGCCCAUGGACUAAAAAUCCUUUGAAAAUUGAGAGGUUGGGAAUGUCAACAACAAACAUUUUGUAUUAGCUCUCAGGUUAAGAGUAUGCUUGAUCCUUGUGAAGAUGAAAAUGAUGACAUUCAAGACGAUGAUGUGAGCUUGGGAGCUGAUUUUGUACAAAGGGAUGAGCAUUCUGAAUCUGUCAGUGAGGUACUGUGUUAACAUUUCUUUACUGUUUGUUCUCCAUGAGCUUCACUAACUGCUGAAAGCUUGAUUUACCAUAUAGAACAAGUGUUUAGUUAACUACUUGUCAAUUUGUAACCCACUUUAGGUUAGCCAUUCGCAAGAUAACCAAUACAUAGUCGCGCCAAUAGAUAAGCAGCAGAAUUGUGAUGAUAAUGGAUGACAUGGUUGAUGAAGGUGAUAACGACCCAUGAUGGGUUUCUUGAUGCCAAAAGCAACCAGAGGCUAGGCUAGGCCCAC